CGGGUACGUUAAUAGCGUAUUCGUUUGACGUUAGCGACAGAAGAAAGCACCGGCUAACUCCGUGCCAGCAGCCGCGGUAAUACGGAGGGUGCGAGCGUUAAUCGGAAUUACUGGGCGUAAAGCGCAUGCAGGUGGUUUGUUAAGUCAGAUGUGAAAGACCCGGGGCGUCAACCUCGGAAUAGCAUUUGUAAACUAGGCAGACUAGAGUACUGUAGAGGGGGGUAGGAAUUUCAGGUGUAGCGGUGAAAUGCGUAGAGAUCUGAAGGAAUACCGGUGGCGAAGGCGGCCCCCUCGGACAGAUACUGACACUCAGAUGCGAAAGCGUGGGGAGCAAACAGGAUUAGAUACCCUGGUAG
rnacentral:rRNA from 1 species